GCCAAAUGAUGAACUAGUCACAUGUCUUACUUCCUGUUCCAGCCACAGAGCAUGAAAAGGUGAACAUAAAGAGGCUGGCUGCAGGAGAAGAGGAAAAUUUGUUCCAGAAGGAACUGCCUGAGAGAU
ensembl:snoRNA SNORD22 Small nucleolar RNA SNORD22